rnacentral:rRNA from 1 species
UACGGAGGGUGCAAGCGUUAUCCGGAUUUACUGGGUUUAAAGGGUGCGUAGGCGGGCAGGUAAGUCAGUGGUGAAAUCUCCGGGCUUAACCCGGAAACUGCCGUUGAUACUAUCUGUCUUGAAUAUCGUGGAGGUAAGCGGAAUAUGUCAUGUAGCGGUGAAAUGCUUAGAUAUGACAUAGAACACCCAUUGCGAAGGCAGCUUACUACACGAUCAUUGACGCUGAGGCACGAAAGCGUGGGGAGCAAACAGG